GUGGGAGCAGACGGCUUAAUGGAGCCUCGUUGUGACUCACCCCAGUGGGAAGGUUGAGGCACCUGCCUUGGGGGAAUCCACAGCCAAGAUAAAGCAUCACCCACCAGGCGUGGGGAUGGUCGAGCGUCACCAGAAUGAUGCAGGGUGGAAGGCACACGCCACAGCUCCCUCACUCUAGAAGGAUGUUUUUGAGAAGUCUACCUGCUCCCCAGAGGCAUGGGGCAGCCUAGUUCUCUCUUCCCCUCUUUUCUUUCUUCGCUCUCAAUUCCCCAUCUGUGAGUCACUCGGUAUCAGUCCACUAAACUCUUCUCAGCCCAUGUCAGCAGGAACCAGCUGGCUUUGUGGGGGAAAAUACCAACCCAGCUGUCUGCACAAGGAUGGUAAGAAUUAGAACCUUGGGUCCCAUACCUCCAGCUCACAUCUGGAGAAACUGAAGGGGAGACUUUGAAAUUUGGGGUCAAGGAAGCCUUGUAGCUUUUUGAUUAACAGCACGAGUUCUUGAGUCACCUGGCCUGGAAGAAAAAGCCCACCUCGGCCGUUUAGUUACUGAUUGAUUUCGACCCAUCACUUCACUCACCAAGCUUCAGCUCCUCCUCUCUGACUAUAGGACAAGAUCAGUACCACGCUCCUAAGGCCAGCGAUGCUGCAAAAUGCAUAAUAACCUUUGGUUGUUAUUUUAGUGAUGAUUCUUCUAGAUUUCUCCUGAGAAGUCAUGCAAAACAGGAAUGUGAAUUGCAAAAAAGAUGCUGAGCAGGAAGGCACCAAAGAAAGCCUUUCUCCAAAGGGGAUGUUUAUUUCAGAGGCACACAGGGGGAAGCUCCACCAGCUGUUUUCCAGGAAAUCAUCCACUUCACCCAGGGAGGCGCUGCUGAGGAGUGUGAGUGAGGUCCCGCCUGACCCCAGCUAGUGGGCUGCUGCCUUCUUCUGGCUUCCGUGAGUCAAAGGGACAUGAAAACCACAACAUGAGGUUUAACUGCGAAGCC
rnacentral:lncRNA from 1 species